GUAGAGAUUUUGUUUUCGCAAUGCGCGCCAUUUCUGCAAAACAAUUUUUCGGUGAAUUCUUUAUGCAGUCGAGAGGACCCUUAAAUAUCUGGGAUGGUGCUCUUCCACGGUUCCGGCAAUUAUCCUGAGAUUACCCCCCGAUCGGCGGUAGCGGCAGUGGGAAACAAGCUGCCGUCGGAAAGGUGCUUCAAUAUUCGAGGAGGGCUGGACUGGAAGAUUUGUCCCAACUAGCGGUUGAUAUCGGGGACUCCGACAAGACCAGGAGCAUCUGCUGGCACCUGCAACGGUUCAGGCGUAAAUAUUGGUUUUAAGUAUACCAGUUUUAGCAAAAUUUGAAAUUUUAGAAUCGGCUAAAACACCCACUCCCCACCGGUGUAGGAGCAAAUUUAAAUCGGAAACACUUUCAUUGCAGACACUCAAUAAUUGAGAAGAAAAAACCCAUUUUAUUAGAAAAAUUGCAUAAGUUUUGAGUUUCACGGUUAAUUGUCUUAAAAUUAACUCUACGAAUAUUCUGCUAGUUUCAUAUUUCGUAAGAUUAUUUUAUUUAGCUCUUGUUAUCGAGAUACCUUUUGAAAAUAGGUGAAAAAUCAUUAUACAAAAUUUUCACUUGUUUGGGAAAGCUAUAAAACAUUGUCGAUAUUUUGAAAAUAAAGAUCAACUGAAUGAUUAACUUUCCCGAAGACCGCUAGACAUUUUGACUACUUAAAAAAAGUAUGAAAAUUUUCUUUUCGUAUAUUUUUUUUCAAAUUUUAGAACGCUGGCUGGAUUCACUAAUUCGUCGAGCCCAAAUGAAAAGCUUUUUAAUUUAAUUAUAUUAAAUCGAGAAUAAUGUGACAUCUUUUAUUUUUACUUGAUAUGGUUUUUAUUAACAUCUAUUCUCAAUUUAUGUUACGUAUAGGCUGGUUUAAGCGAAAAAAAAAUUCGAAUAAUAUCUCAAAAAGAAACUAUUAUCACACCCAAUGUUACUCAAACAUGUGUGAAAGAAAUCAUUGUUGGCUAAAAUUUUCUCACCGUGAACUAAAUCGGUCUGUCGUAUAUUUUGAAAUCCUGUUCCAAAUUUGCAUGAAUUUGGAACAAAGGCGUAUAACUGUUGGGAAUUUUGAAAUCGAUAACUGUGCUAAAACAGCAAUAUACGCCACCGGUGCCAGCCGAAAUGUUUUAGCGUGGUCGAAAACCGUGUUUUGCAUCUACCGUUGGGACAGCCCUUAGGUCUGGCGGAUUUGGUAUAUGACGAGCGGUUUCCGAUCCACCGUGUCGUCAAUGAAUAUGGUCAUCACGCACCAAUGAGGUACACCACAUUGAUCACGCACCACUCGCAGCAGGUCGGUAGGAGCUGCUCUCGAGAAACCAUCAGCUUCAUCGAGGGCGCCGUCAUGAGCGAGCUUAAGCCUCGGGAAUUGGCAAAUCUGAAAAUCCGGGCUACAGCAGGUAGCCCGGAUUCCAAUAGUGGUUUUCUAAAAUUGUGAAAAACAGUGUAAAAGUGAAAAUUUGUGGAAAGAAAAACUUAUGUGACAAUAAUAGUGUUUUAAAACAUUAAUAAAAUGUGUUCUUUUGAAUAGUUUUCUUCCUUUUUUGUUCAAGUGACUCGCAAUAAAAAUUAAUCAGUUUGUUAAAGUUGUUCCUUGUUUUAGGGAAUAUUA